rnacentral:rRNA from 1 species
UACGGAGGGAGCUAGCGUUGUUCGGAAUUACUGGGCGUAAAGCGCGCGUAGGCGGCUUUGUAAGUUAGAGGUGAAAGCCCGGGGCUCAACUCCGGAACUGCCUUUAAGACUGCAUCGCUUGAAUCCGGGAGAGGUGAGUGGAAUUCCGAGUGUAGAGGUGAAAUUCGUAAGAUAUUCGGAAGAACACCAGUGGCGAAGGCGGCUCACUGGACCGGUAUUG